rnacentral:lncRNA from 1 species
CACCGUUCUAAGAUGGGUCCUCUCUUCGUAGGCUAAUGCAUUGGCCCUUUUUGACCCGUUUUGGGGCGAAAACAAAAACUGACUCCCGGCAUAUUUUUUUCGGCCUUUAUGGGCAGAGAACUUUAAUACCGCUCGAAAUGAGGCCACCCAGUAGUUAGGUGUGAAUUUUCGAGACCUUUGGCACCGUUCUAAGAUGGGUCCUCUCUUCGUAGGCUAAUGCAUUGGCCCUUUUUGACCCGUUUUGGGGCGAAAACAAAAACUGACUCCCGGGCAUAUUUUUUUCGGCCUUUAUGGGCAGAGAACUUUAAUACCGCUCAAAAUGAGGCCACCCAGUAGUUAGGUGUGAAUUUUCGAGACCUUUGGCACCGUUCUAAGAUGGGUCCUCUCUUCGUAGGCUAAUGCAUUGGCCCUUUUUGACCCGUUUUGGGGCGAAAACAAAAACUGACUCCCGGGCAUAUUUUUUUCGGCCUUUAUGGGCAGAGAACUUUAAUACCGCUCAAAAUGAGGCCACCCAGUAGUUAGGUGUGAAUUUUCGAGACCUUUGGCACCGUUCUAAGAUGGGUCCUCUCUUCGUAGGCUAAUGCAUUGGCCCUUUUUGACCCGUUUUGGGGCGAAAACAAAAACUGACUCCCGGGCAUAUUUUUUUCGGCCUUUAUGGGCAGAGAACUUUAAUACCGCUCAAAAUGAGGCCACCCAGUAGUUAGGUGUGAAUUUUCGAGACCUUUGGCACCGUUCUAAGAUGGGUCCUCUCUUCGUAGGCUAAUGCAUUGGCCCUUUUUGACCCGUUUUGGGGCGAAAACAAAAACUGACUCCCGGGCAUAUUUUUUUCGGCCUUUAUGGGCAGAGAACUUUAAUACCGCUCGAAAUGAGGCCACCCAGUAGUUAGGUGUGAAUUUUCGAGACCUUUGGCACCGUUCUAAGAUGGGUCCUCUCUUCGUAGGCUAAUGCAUUGGCCCUUUUUGACCCGUUUUGGGGCGAAAACAAAAACUGACUCCCGGGCAUAUUUUUUUCGGCCUUUAUGGGCAGAGAACUUUAAUACCGCUCAAAAUGAGGCCACCCAGUAGUUAGGUGUGAAUUUUCGAGACCUUUGGCACCGUUCUAAGAUGGGUCCUCUCUUCGUAGGCUAAUGCAUUGGCCCUUUUUGACCCGUUUUGGGGCGAAAACAAAAACUGACUCCCGGGCAUAUUUUUUUCGGCCUUUAUGGGCAGAGAACUUUAAUGCCGCUCGGAAUGAGGCCACCCAGUAGUUAGGUGUGAAUUUUCGAGACCUUUGGCACCGUUCUAAGAUGGGUCCUCUCUUCGUAGGCUAAUGCAUUGGCCCUUUUUGACCCGUUUUGGGGCGAAAACAAAAACUGACUCCCGGGCAUAUUUUUUUUCGGCCUUUAUGGGCAGAGAACUUUAAUGCCGCUCGGAAUGAGGCCACCCAGUAGUUAGGUGUGAAUUUUCGAGACCUUUGGCACCGUUCUAAGAUGGGUCCUCUCUUCGUAGGCUAAUGCAUUGGCCCUUUUUGACCCGUUUUGGGGCGAAAACAAAAACUGACUCCCGGGCAUAUUUUUUUCGGCCUUUAUGGGCAGAGAACUUUAAUGCCGCUCAGAAUGAGGCCACCCAGUAGUUAGGUGUGAAUUUUCGAGACCUUUGGCACCGUUCUAAGAUGGGUCCUCUCUUCGUAGGCUAAUGCAUUGGCCCUUUUUGACCCGUUUUGGGGCGAAAACAAAAACUGACUCCCGGGCAUAUUUUUUUUCGGCCUUUAUGGGCAGAGAACUUUAAUGCCGCUCAGAAUGAGGCCACCCAGUAGUUAGGUGUGAAUUUUCGAGACCUUUGGCACCGUUCUAAGAUGGGUCCUCUCUUCGUAGGCUAAUGCAUUGGCCCUUUUUGACCCGUUUUGGGGCGAAAACAAAAACUGACUCCCGGGCAUAUUUUUUUCGGCCUUUAUGGGCAGAGAACUUUAAUGCCGCUCGGAAUGAGGCCACCCAGUAGUUAGGUGUGAAUUUUCGAGACCUUUGGCACCGUUCUAAGAUGGGUCCUCUCUUCGUAGGCUAAUGCAUUGGCCCUUUUUGACCCGUUUUGGGGCGAAAACAAAAACUGACUCCCGGGCAUAUUUUUUUCGGCCUUUAUGGGCAGAGAACUUUAAUGCCGCUCGGAAUGAGGCCACCCAGUAGUUAGGUGUGAAUUUUCGAGACCUUUGGCACCGUUCUAAGAUGGGUCCUCUCUUCGUAGGCUAAUGCAUUGGCCCUUUUUUGACCCGUUUUGGGGCGAAAACAAAAACUGACUCCCGGGCAUAUUUUUUUCGGCCUUUAUGGGCAGAGAACUUUAAUGCCGCUCAGAAUGAGGCCACCCAGUAGUUAGGUGUGAAUUUUCGAGACCUUUGGCACCGUUCUAAGAUGGGUCCUCUCUUCGUAGGCUAAUGCAUUGGCCCUUUUUGACCCGUUUUGGGGCGAAAACAAAAACUGACUCCCGGGCAUAUUUUUUUCGGCCUUUAUGGGCAGAGAACUUUAAUGCCGCUCAGAAUGAGGCCACCCAGUAGUUAGGUGUGAAUUUUCGAGACCUUUGGCACCGUUCUAAGAUGGGUCCUCUCUUCGUAGGCUAAUGCAUUGGCCCUUUUUGACCCGUUUUGGGGCGAAAACAAAAACUGACUCCCGGGCAUAUUUUUUUCGGCCUUUAUGGGCAGAGAACUUUAAUGCCGCUCAGAAUGAGGCCACCCAGUAGUUAGGUGUGAAUUUUCGAGACCUUUGGCACCGUUCUAAGAUGGGUCCUCUCUUCGUAGGCUAAUGCAUUGGCCCUUUUUGACCCGUUUUGGGGCGAAAACAAAAACUGACUCCCGGGCAUAUUUUUUUCGGCCUUUAUGGGCAGAGAACUUUAAUGCCGCUCAGAAUGAGGCCACCCAGUAGUUAGGUGUGAAUUUUCGAGACCUUUGGCACCGUUCUAAGAUGGGUCCUCUCUUCGUAGGCUAAUGCAUUGGCCCUUUUUGACCCGUUUUGGGGCGAAAACAAAAACUGACUCCCGGGCAUAUUUUUUUUCGGCCUUUAUGGGCAGAGAACUUUAAUGCCGCUCAGAAUGAGGCCACCCAGUAGUUAGGUGUGAAUUUUCGAGACCUUUGGCACCGUUCUAAGAUGGGUCCUCUCUUCGUAGGCUAAUGCAUUGGCCCUUUUUGACCCGUUUUGGGGCGAAAACAAAAACUGACUCCCGGGCAUAUUUUUUUCGGCCUUUAUGGGCAGAGAACUUUAAUGCCGCUCAGAAUGAGGCCACCCAGUAGUUAGGUGUGAAUUUUCGAGACCUCUGGCACCGUUCUAAGAUGGGUCCUCUCUUCGUAGGCUAAUGCAUUGGCCCUUUUUGACCCGUUUUGGGGCGAAAACAAAAACUGACUCCCGGGCAUAUUUUUUUCGGCCUUUAUGGGCAGAGAACUUUAAUGCCGCUCAGAAUGAGGCCACCCAGUAGUUAGGUGUGAAUUUUCGAGACCUCUGGCACCGUUCUAAGAUGGGUCCUCUCUUCGUAGGCUAAUGCAUUGGCCCUUUUUGACCCGUUUUGGGGCGAAAACAAAAACUGACUCCCGGGCAUAUUUUUUUCGGCCUUUAUGGGCAGAGAACUUUAAUGCCGCUCAGAAUGAGGCCACCCAGUAGUUAGGUGUGAAUUUUCGAGACCUCUGGCACCGUUCUAAGAUGGGUCCUCUCUUCGUAGGCUAAUGCAUUGGCCCUUUUUGACCCGUUUUGGGGCGAAAACAAAAACUGACUCCCGGGCAUAUUUUUUUCGGCCUUUAUGGGCAGAGAACUUUAAUGCCGCUCAGAAUGAGGCCACCCAGUAGUUAGGUGUGAAUUUUCGAGACCUCUGGCACCGUUCUAAGAUGGGUCCUCUCUUCGUAGGCUAAUGCAUUGGCCCUUUUUGACCCGUUUUGGGGCGAAAACAAAAACUGACUCCCGGGCAUAUUUUUUUCGGCCUUUAUGGGCAGAGAACUUUAAUGCCGCUCAGAAUGAGGCCACCCAGUAGUUAGGUGUGAAUUUUCGAGACCUCUGGCACCGUUCUAAGAUGGGUCCUCUCUUCGUAGGCUAAUGCAUUGGCCCUUUUUGACCCGUUUUGGGGCGAAAACAAAAACUGACUCCCGGGCAUAUUUUUUUCGGCCUUUAUGGGCAGAGAACUUUAAUGCCGCUCAGAAUGAGGCCACCCAGUAGUUAGGUGUGAAUUUUCGAGACCUCUGGCACCGUUCUAAGAUGGGUCCUCUCUUCGUAGGCUAAUGCAUUGGCCCUUUUUGACCCGUUUUGGGGCGAAAACAAAAACUGACUCCCGGGCAUAUUUUUUUCGGCCUUUAUGGGCAGAGAACUUUAAUGCCGCUCAGAAUGAGGCCACCCAGUAGUUAGGUGUGAAUUUUCGAGACCUCUGGCACCGUUCUAAGAUGGGUCCUCUCUUCGUAGGCUAAUGCAUUGGCCCUUUUUGACCCGUUUUGGGGCGAAAACAAAAACUGACUCCCGGGCAUAUUUUUUUCGGCCUUUAUGGGCAGAGAACUUUAAUGCCGCUCAGAAUGAGGCCACCCAGUAGUUAGGUGUGAAUUUUCGAGACCUCUGGCACCGUUCUAAGAUGGGUCCUCUCUUCGUAGGCUAAUGCAUUGGCCCUUUUUGACCCGUUUUGGGGCGAAAACAAAAACUGACUCCCGGGCAUAUUUUUUUCGGCCUUUAUGGGCAGAGAACUUUAAUGCCGCUCAGAAUGAGGCCACCCAGUAGUUAGGUGUGAAUUUUCGAGACCUCUGGCACCGUUCUAAGAUGGGUCCUCUCUUCGUAGGCUAAUGCAUUGGCCCUUUUUGACCCGUUUUGGGGCGAAAACAAAAACUGACUCCCGGGCAUAUUUUUUUCGGCCUUUUAUGGGCAGAGAACUUUAAUGCCGCUCAGAAUGAGGCCACCCAGUAGUUAGGUGUGAAUUUUCGAGACCUCUGGCACCGUUCUAAGAUGGGUCCUCUCUUCGUAGGCUAAUGCAUUGGCCCUUUUUGACCCGUUUUGGGGCGAAAACAAAAACUGACUCCCGGGCAUAUUUUUUUCGGCCUUUAUGGGCAGAGAACUUUAAUGCCGCUCAGAAUGAGGCCACCCAGUAGUUAGGUGUGAAUUUUCGAGACCUCUGGCACCGUUCUAAGAUGGGUCCUCUCUUCGUAGGCUAAUGCAUUGGCCCUUUUUGACCCGUUUUGGGGCGAAAACAAAAACUGACUCCCGGGCAUAUUUUUUUCGGCCUUUAUGGGCAGAGAACUUUAAUGCCGCUCAGAAUGAGGCCACCCAGUAGUUAGGUGUGAAUUUUCGAGACCUCUGGCACCGUUCUAAGAUGGGUCCUCUCUUCGUAGGCUAAUGCAUUGGCCCUUUUUGACCCGUUUUGGGGCGAAAACAAAAACUGACUCCCGGGCAUAUUUUUUUCGGCCUUUAUGGGCAGAGAACUUUAAUGCCGCUCAGAAUGAGGCCACCCAGUAGUUAGGUGUGAAUUUUCGAGACCUCUGGCACCGUUCUAAGAUGGGUCCUCUCUUCGUAGGCUAAUGCAUUGGCCCUUUUUGACCCGUUUUGGGGCGAAAACAAAAACUGACUCCCGGGCAUAUUUUUUUCGGCCUUUAUGGGCAGAGAACUUUAAUGCCGCUCAGAAUGAGGCCACCCAGUAGUUAGGUGUGAAUUUUCGAGACCUCUGGCACCGUUCUAAGAUGGGUCCUCUCUUCGUAGGCUAAUGCAUUGGCCCUUUUUGACCCGUUUUGGGGCGAAAAAAAAAAACUGACUCCCGGGCAUAUUUUUUUCGGCCUUUAUGGGCAGAGAACUUUAAUGCCGCUCAGAAUGAGGCCACCCAGUAGUUAGGUGUGAAUUUUCGAGACCUCUGGCACCGUUCUAAGAUGGGUCCUCUCUUCGUAGGCUAAUGCAUUGGCCCUUUUUGACCCGUUUUGGGGCGAAAACAAAAACUGACUCCCGGGCAUAUUUUUUUCGGCCUUUAUGGGCAGAGAACUUUAAUGCCGCUCAGAAUGAGGCCACCCAGUAGUUAGGUGUGAAUUUUCGAGACCUCUGGCACCGUUCUAAGAUGGGUCCUCUCUUCGUAGGCUAAUGCAUUGGCCCUUUUUGACCCGUUUUGGGGCGAAAACAAAAACUGACUCCCGGGCAUAUUUUUUUCGGCCUUUAUGGGCAGAGAACUUUAAUGCCGCUCAGAAUGAGGCCACCCAGUAGUUAGGUGUGAAUUUUCGAGACCUCUGGCACCGUUCUAAGAUGGGUCCUCUCUUCGUAGGCUAAUGCAUUGGCCCUUUUUGACCCGUUUUGGGGCGAAAACAAAAACUGACUCCCGGGCAUAUUUUUUUCGGCCUUUAUGGGCAGAGAACUUUAAUGCCGCUCAGAAUGAGGCCACCCAGUAGUUAGGUGUGAAUUUUCGAGACCUCUGGCACCGUUCUAAGAUGGGUCCUCUCUUCGUAGGCUAAUGCAUUGGCCCUUUUUGACCCGUUUUGGGGCGAAAACAAAAACUGACUCCCGGGCAUAUUUUUUUCGGCCUUUAUGGGCAGAGAACUUUAAUGCCGCUCAGAAUGAGGCCACCCAGUAGUUAGGUGUGAAUUUUCGAGACCUCUGGCACCGUUCUAAGAUGGGUCCUCUCUUCGUAGGCUAAUGCAUUGGCCCUUUUUGACCCGUUUUGGGGCGAAAACAAAAACUGACUCCCGGGCAUAUUUUUUUCGGCCUUUAUGGGCAGAGAACUUUAAUGCCGCUCAGAAUGAGGCCACCCAGUAGUUAGGUGUGAAUUUUCGAGACCUCUGGCACCGUUCUAAGAUGGGUCCUCUCUUCGUAGGCUAAUGCAUUGGCCCUUUUUGACCCGUUUUGGGGCGAAAACAAAAACUGACUCCCGGGCAUAUUUUUUUCGGCCUUUAUGGGCAGAGAACUUUAAUACCGCUCAGAAUGAGGCCACCCAGUAGUUAGGUGUGAAUUUUCGAGACCUCUGGCACCGUUCUAAGAUGGGUCCUCUCUUCGUAGGCUAAUGCAUUGGCCCUUUUUGACCCGUUUUGGGGCGAAAACAAAAACUGACUCCCGGGCAUAUUUUUUUCGGCCUUUAUGGGCAGAGAACUUUAAUGCCGCUCAGAAUGAGGCCACCCAGUAGUUAGGUGUGAAUUUUCGAGACCUCUGGCACCGUUCUAAGAUGGGUCCUCUCUUCGUAGGCUAAUGCAUUGGCCCUUUUUGACCCGUUUUGGGGCGAAAACAAAAACUGACUCCCGGGCAUAUUUUUUUCGGCCUUUAUGGGCAGAGAACUUUAAUACCGCUCAGAAUGAGGCCACCCAGUAGUUAGGUGUGAAUUUUCGAGACCUCUGGCACCGUUCUAAGAUGGGUCCUCUCUUCGUAGGCUAAUGCAUUGGCCCUUUUUGACCCGUUUUGGGGCGAAAACAAAAACUGACUCCCGGGCAUAUUUUUUUCGGCCUUUAUGGGCAGAGAACUUUAAUACCGCUCAGAAUGAGGCCACCCAGUAGUUAGGUGUGAAUUUUCGAGACCUCUGGCACCGUUCUAAGAUGGGUCCUCUCUUCGUAGGCUAAUGCAUUGGCCCUUUUUGACCCGUUUUGGGGCGAAAACAAAAACUGACUCCCGGGCAUAUUUUUUUCGGCCUUUAUGGGCAGAGAACUUUAAUACCGCUCAGAAUGAGGCCACCCAGUAGUUAGGUGUGAAUUUUCGAGACCUCUGGCACCGUUCUAAGAUGGGUCCUCUCUUCGUAGGCUAAUGCAUUGGCCCUUUUUGACCCGUUUUGGGGCGAAAACAAAAACUGACUCCCGGGCAUAUUUUUUUCGGCCUUUAUGGGCAGAGAACUUUAAUACCGCUCAGAAUGAGGCCACCCAGUAGUUAGGUGUGAAUUUUCGAGACCUCUGGCACCGUUCUAAGAUGGGUCCUCUCUUCGUAGGCUAAUGCAUUGGCCCUUUUUGACCCGUUUUGGGGCGAAAACAAAAACUGACUCCCGGGCAUAUUUUUUUCGGCCUUUAUGGGCAGAGAACUUUAAUGCCGCUCAGAAUGAGGCCACCCAGUAGUUAGGUGUGAAUUUUCGAGACCUCUGGCACCGUUCUAAGAUGGGUCCUCUCUUCGUAGGCUAAUGCAUUGGCCCUUUUUGACCCGUUUUGGGGCGAAAACAAAAACUGACUCCCGGGCAUAUUUUUUUCGGCCUUUAUGGGCAGAGAACUUUAAUACCGCUCAGAAUGAGGCCACCCAGUAGUUAGGUGUGAAUUUUCGAGACCUCUGGCACCGUUCUAAGAUGGGUCCUCUCUUCGUAGGCUAAUGCAUUGGCCCUUUUUGACCCGUUUUGGGGCGAAAACAAAAACUGACUCCCGGGCAUAUUUUUUUCGGCCUUUAUGGGCAGAGAACUUUAAUGCCGCUCAGAAUGAGGCCACCCAGUAGUUAGGUGUGAAUUUUCGAGACCUCUGGCACCGUUCUAAGAUGGGUCCUCUCUUCGUAGGCUAAUGCAUUGGCCCUUUUUGACCCGUUUUGGGGCGAAAACAAAAACUGACUCCCGGGCAUAUUUUUUUCGGCCUUUAUGGGCAGAGAACUUUAAUGCCGCUCAGAAUGAGGCCACCCAGUAGUUAGGUGUGAAUUUUCGAGACCUCUGGCACCGUUCUAAGAUGGGUCCUCUCUUCGUAGGCUAAUGCAUUGGCCCUUUUUGACCCGUUUUGGGGCGAAAACAAAAACUGACUCCCGGGCAUAUUUUUUUCGGCCUUUAUGGGCAGAGAACUUUAAUACCGCUCAGAAUGAGGCCACCCAGUAGUUAGGUGUGAAUUUUCGAGACCUCUGGCACCGUUCUAAGAUGGGUCCUCUCUUCGUAGGCUAAUGCAUUGGCCCUUUUUGACCCGUUUUGGGGCGAAAACAAAAACUGACUCCCGGGCAUAUUUUUUUCGGCCUUUAUGGGCAGAGAACUUUAAUGCCGCUCAGAAUGAGGCCACCCAGUAGUUAGGUGUGAAUUUUCGAGACCUCUGGCACCGUUCUAAGAUGGGUCCUCUCUUCGUAGGCUAAUGCAUUGGCCCUUUUUGACCCGUUUUGGGGCGAAAACAAAAACUGACUCCCGGGCAUAUUUUUUUCGGCCUUUAUGGGCAGAGAACUUUAAUGCCGCUCAGAAUGAGGCCACCCAGUAGUUAGGUGUGAAUUUUCGAGACCUCUGGCACCGUUCUAAGAUGGGUCCUCUCUUCGUAGGCUAAUGCAUUGGCCCUUUUUGACCCGUUUUGGGGCGAAAACAAAAACUGACUCCCGGGCAUAUUUUUUUCGGCCUUUAUGGGCAGAGAACUUUAAUGCCGCUCAGAAUGAGGCCACCCAGUAGUUAGGUGUGAAUUUUCGAGACCUCUGGCACCGUUCUAAGAUGGGUCCUCUCUUCGUAGGCUAAUGCAUUGGCCCUUUUUGACCCGUUUUGGGGCGAAAACAAAAACUGACUCCCGGGCAUAUUUUUUUCGGCCUUUAUGGGCAGAGAACUUUAAUGCCGCUCAGAAUGAGGCCACCCAGUAGUUAGGUGUGAAUUUUCGAGACCUCUGGCACCGUUCUAAGAUGGGUCCUCUCUUCGUAGGCUAAUGCAUUGGCCCUUUUUGACCCGUUUUGGGGCGAAAACAAAAACUGACUCCCGGGCAUAUUUUUUUCGGCCUUUAUGGGCAGAGAACUUUAAUGCCGCUCAGAAUGAGGCCACCCAGUAGUUAGGUGUGAAUUUUCGAGACCUCUGGCACCGUUCUAAGAUGGGUCCUCUCUUCGUAGGCUAAUGCAUUGGCCCUUUUUGACCCGUUUUGGGGCGAAAACAAAAACUGACUCCCGGGCAUAUUUUUUUCGGCCUUUAUGGGCAGAGAACUUUAAUGCCGCUCAGAAUGAGGCCACCCAGUAGUUAGGUGUGAAUUUUCGAGACCUCUGGCACCGUUCUAAGAUGGGUCCUCUCUUCGUAGGCUAAUGCAUUGGCCCUUUUUGACCCGUUUUGGGGCGAAAACAAAAACUGACUCCCGGGCAUAUUUUUUUCGGCCUUUAUGGGCAGAGAACUUUAAUGCCGCUCAGAAUGAGGCCACCCAGUAGUUAGGUGUGAAUUUUCGAGACCUCUGGCACCGUUCUAAGAUGGGUCCUCUCUUCGUAGGCUAAUGCAUUGGCCCUUUUUGACCCGUUUUGGGGCGAAAACAAAAACUGACUCCCGGGCAUAUUUUUUUCGGCCUUUAUGGGCAGAGAACUUUAAUGCCGCUCAGAAUGAGGCCACCCAGUAGUUAGGUGUGAAUUUUCGAGACCUCUGGCACCGUUCUAAGAUGGGUCCUCUCUUCGUAGGCUAAUGCAUUGGCCCUUUUUGACCCGUUUUGGGGCGAAAACAAAAACUGACUCCCGGGCAUAUUUUUUUCGGCCUUUAUGGGCAGAGAACUUUAAUGCCGCUCAGAAUGAGGCCACCCAGUAGUUAGGUGUGAAUUUUCGAGACCUCUGGCACCGUUCUAAGAUGGGUCCUCUCUUCGUAGGCUAAUGCAUUGGCCCUUUUUGACCCGUUUUGGGGCGAAAACAAAAACUGACUCCCGGGCAUAUUUUUUUCGGCCUUUAUGGGCAGAGAACUUUAAUGCCGCUCAGAAUGAGGCCACCCAGUAGUUAGGUGUGAAUUUUCGAGACCUCUGGCACCGUUCUAAGAUGGGUCCUCUCUUCGUAGGCUAAUGCAUUGGCCCUUUUUGACCCGUUUUGGGGCGAAAACAAAAACUGACUCCCGGGCAUAUUUUUUUCGGCCUUUAUGGGCAGAGAACUUUAAUGCCGCUCAGAAUGAGGCCACCCAGUAGUUAGGUGUGAAUUUUCGAGACCUCUGGCACCGUUCUAAGAUGGGUCCUCUCUUCGUAGGCUAAUGCAUUGGCCCUUUUUGACCCGUUUUGGGGCGAAAACAAAAACUGACUCCCGGGCAUAUUUUUUUCGGCCUUUAUGGGCAGAGAACUUUAAUACCGCUCAGAAUGAGGCCACCCAGUAGUUAGGUGUGAAUUUUCGAGACCUCUGGCACCGUUCUAAGAUGGGUCCUCUCUUCGUAGGCUAAUGCAUUGGCCCUUUUUGACCCGUUUUGGGGCGAAAACAAAAACUGACUCCCGGGCAUAUUUUUUUCGGCCUUUAUGGGCAGAGAACUUUAAUGCCGCUCAGAAUGAGGCCACCCAGUAGUUAGGUGUGAAUUUUCGAGACCUCUGGCACCGUUCUAAGAUGGGUCCUCUCUUCGUAGGCUAAUGCAUUGGCCCUUUUUGACCCGUUUUGGGGCGAAAACAAAAACUGACUCCCGGGCAUAUUUUUUUCGGCCUUUAUGGGCAGAGAACUUUAAUACCGCUCAGAAUGAGGCCACCCAGUAGUUAGGUGUGAAUUUUCGAGACCUCUGGCACCGUUCUAAGAUGGGUCCUCUCUUCGUAGGCUAAUGCAUUGGCCCUUUUUGACCCGUUUUGGGGCGAAAACAAAAACUGACUCCCGGGCAUAUUUUUUUCGGCCUUUAUGGGCAGAGAACUUUAAUGCCGCUCAGAAUGAGGCCACCCAGUAGUUAGGUGUGAAUUUUCGAGACCUCUGGCACCGUUCUAAGAUGGGUCCUCUCUUCGUAGGCUAAUGCAUUGGCCCUUUUUGACCCGUUUUGGGGCGAAAACAAAAACUGACUCCCGGGCAUAUUUUUUUCGGCCUUUAUGGGCAGAGAACUUUAAUGCCGCUCAGAAUGAGGCCACCCAGUAGUUAGGUGUGAAUUUUCGAGACCUCUGGCACCGUUCUAAGAUGGGUCCUCUCUUCGUAGGGCUAAUGCAUUGGCCCUUUUUGACCCGUUUUGGGGCGAAAACAAAAACUGACUCCCGGGCAUAUUUUUUUCGGCCUUUAUGGGCAGAGAACUUUAAUACCGCUCAGAAUGAGGCCACCCAGUAGUUAGGUGUGAAUUUUCGAGACCUCUGGCACCGUUCUAAGAUGGGUCCUCUCUUCGUAGGCUAAUGCAUUGGCCCUUUUUGACCCGUUUUGGGGCGAAAACAAAAACUGACUCCCGGGCAUAUUUUUUUCGGCCUUUAUGGGCAGAGAACUUUAAUGCCGCUCAGAAUGAGGCCACCCAGUAGUUAGGUGUGAAUUUUCGAGACCUCUGGCACCGUUCUAAGAUGGGUCCUCUCUUCGUAGGCUAAUGCAUUGGCCCUUUUUGACCCGUUUUGGGGCGAAAACCAAAAACUGACUCCCGGGCAUAUUUUUUUCGGCCUUUAUGGGCAGAGAACUUUAAUACCGCUCAGAAUGAGGCCACCACCCAGUAGUUAGGUGUGAAUUUUCGAGACCUCUGGCACCGUUCUAAGAUGGGUCCUCUCUUCGUAGGCUAAUGCAUUGGCCCUUUUUGACCCGUUUUGGGGCGAAAACAAAAACUGACUCCCGGGCAUAUUUUUUUCGGCCUUUAUGGGCAGAGAAACUUUAAUGCCGCUCAGAAUGAGGCCACCCAGUAGUUAGGUGUGAAUUUUCGAGACCUCUGGCACCGUUCUAAGAUGGGUCCUCUCUUCGUAGGCUAAUGCAUUGGCCCUUUUUGACCCGUUUUGGGGCGAAAACAAAAACUGACUCCCGGGCAUAUUUUUUUCGGCCUUUAUGGGCAGAGAACUUUAAUACCGCUCAGAAUGAGGCCACCCAGUAGUUAGGUGUGAAUUUUCGAGACCUCUGGCACCGUUCUAAGAUGGGUCCUCUCUUCGUAGGCUAAUGCAUUGGCCCUUUUUGACCCGUUUUGGGGCGAAAACAAAAACUGACUCCCGGGCAUAUUUUUUUCGGCCUUUAUGGGCAAAGAACUUUAAUGCCGCUCAGAAUGAGGCCACCCAGUAGUUAGGUGUGAAUUUUCGAGACCUCUGGCACCGUUCUAAGAUGGGUCCUCUCUUCGUAGGCUAAUGCAUUGGCCCUUUUUGACCCGUUUUGGGGCGAAAAACAAAAACUGACUCCCGGGCAUAUUUUUUUCGGCCUUUAUGGGCAAAGAACUUUAAUGCCGCUCAGAAUGAGGCCACCCAGUAGUUAGGUGUGAAUUUUCGAGACCUCUGGCACCGUUCUAAGAUGGGUCCUCUCUUCGUAGGCUAAUGCAUUGGCCCUUUUUGACCCGUUUUGGGGCGAAAACAAAAAACUGACUCCCGGGCAUAUUUUUUUCGGCCUUUAUGGGCAGAGAACUUUAAUGCCGCUCAGAAUGAGGCCACCCAGUAGUUAGGUGUGAAUUUUCGAGACCUCUGGCACCGUUCUAAGAUGGGUCCUCUCUUCGUAGGCUAAUGCAUUGGCCCUUUUUGACCCGUUUUGGGGCGAAAACAAAAACUGACUCCCGGGCAUAUUUUUUUCGGCCUUUAUGGGCAGAGAACUUUAAUACCGCUCAGAAUGAGGCCACCCAGUAGUUAGGUGUGAAUUUUCGAGACCUCUGGCACCGUUCUAAGAUGGGUCCUCUCUUCGUAGGCUAAUGCAUUGGCCCUUUUUGACCCGUUUUGGGGCGAAAACAAAAACUGACUCCCGGGCAUAUUUUUUUCGGCCUUUAUGGGCAGAGAACUUUAAUACCGCUCAGAAUGAGGCCACCCAGUAGUUAGGUGUGAAUUUUCGAGACCCUCUGGCACCGUUCUAAGAUGGGUCCUCUCUUCGUAGGCUAAUGCAUUGGCCCUUUUUGACCCGUUUUGGGGCGAAAACAAAAACUGACUCCCGGGCAUAUUUUUUUCGGCCUUUAUGGGCAGAGAACUUUAAUACCGCUCAGAAUGAGGCCACCCAGUAGUUAGGUGUGAAUUUUCGAGACCUCUUGGCACCGUUCUAAGAUGGGUCCUCUCUUCGUAGGCUAAUGCAUUGGCCCUUUUUGACCCGUUUUGGGGCGAAAACAAAAACUGACUCCCGGGCAUAUUUUUUUCGGCCUUUAUGGGCAGAGAACUUUAAUGCCGCUCAGAAUGAGGCCACCCAGUAGUUAGGUGUGAAUUUUCGAGACCUCUGGCACCGUUCUAAGAUGGGUCCUCUCUUCGUAGGCUAAUGCAUUGGCCCUUUUUGACCCGUUUUGGGGCGAAAACAAAAACUGACUCCCGGGCAUAUUUUUUUCGGCCUUUAUGGGCAGAGAACUUUAAUACCGCUCAAAAAUGAGGCCACCCAGUAGUUAGGUGUGAAUUUUCGAGACCUCUGGCACCGUUCUAAGAUGGGUCCUCUCUUCGUAGGCUAAUGCAUUGGCCCUUUUUGACCCGUUUUGGGGCGAAAACAAAAACUGACUCCCGGGCAUAUUUUUUUCGGCCUUUAUGGGCAGAGAACUUUAAUACCGCUCAGAAUGAGGCCACCCAGUAGUUAGGUGUGAAUUUUCGAGACCUUUGGCACCGUUCUAAGAUGGGUCCUCUCUUCGUAGGCUAAUGCAUUGGCCCUUUUUGACCCGUUUUGGGGCGAAAACAAAAACUGACUCCCGGGCAUAUUUUUUUCGGCCUUUAUGGGCAGAGAACUUUAAUGCCGCUCAGAAUGAGGCCACCCAGUAGUUAGGUGUGAAUUUUCGAGACCUCUGGCACCGUUCUAAGAUGGGUCCUCUCUUCGUAGGCUAAUGCAUUGGCCCUUUUUGACCCGUUUUGGGGCGAAAACAAAAACUGACUCCCGGGCAUAUUUUUUUCGGCCUUUAUGGGCAGAGAACUUUAAUGCCGCUCAGAAUGAGGCCACCCAGUAGUUAGGUGUGAAUUUUCGAGACCUCUGGCACCGUUCUAAGAUGGGUCCUCUCUUCGUAGGCUAAUGCAUUGGCCCUUUUUGACCCGUUUUGGGGCGAAAACAAAAACUGACUCCCGGGCAUAUUUUUUUCGGCCUUUAUGGGCAGAGAACUUUAAUACCGCUCAGAAUGAGGCCACCCAGUAGUUAGGUGUGAAUUUUCGAGACCUCUGGCACCGUUCUAAGAUGGGUCCUCUCUUCGUAGGCUAAUGCAUUGGCCCUUUUUGACCCGUUUUGGGGCGAAAACAAAAACUGACUCCCGGGCAUAUUUUUUUCGGCCUUUAUGGGCAGAGAACUUUAAUACCGCUCAGAAUGAGGCCACCCAGUAGUUAGGUGUGAAUUUUCGAGACCUCUGGCACCGUUCUAAGAUGGGUCCUCUCUUCGUAGGCUAAUGCAUUGGCCCUUUUUGACCCGUUUUGGGGCGAAAACAAAAACUGACUCCCGGGCAUAUUUUUUUCGGCCUUUAUGGGCAGAGAACUUUAAUACCGCUCAGAAUGAGGCCACCCAGUAGUUAGGUGUGAAUUUUCGAGACCUUCUGGCACCGUUCUAAGAUGGGUCCUCUCUUCGUAGGCUAAUGCAUUGGCCCUUUUUGACCCGUUUUGGGGCGAAAACAAAAACUGACUCCCGGGCAUAUUUUUUUCGGCCUUUAUGGGCAGAGAACUUUAAUGCCGCUCAGAAUGAGGCCACCCAGUAGUUAGGUGUGAAUUUUCGAGACCUCUGGCACCGUUCUAAGAUGGGUCCUCUCUUCGUAGGCUAAUGCAUUGGCCCUUUUUGACCCGUUUUGGGGCGAAAACAAAAACUGACUCCCGGGCAUAUUUUUUUCGGCCUUUAUGGGCAGAGAACUUUAAUACCGCUCAGAAUGAGGCCACCCAGUAGUUAGGUGUGAAUUUUCGAGACCUCUGGCACCGUUCUAAGAUGGGUCCUCUCUUCGUAGGCUAAUGCAUUGGCCCUUUUUGACCCGUUUUGGGGCGAAAACAAAAACUGACUCCCGGGCAUAUUUUUUUCGGCCUUUAUGGGCAGAGAACUUUAAUACCGCUCAGAAUGAGGCCACCCAGUAGUUAGGUGUGAAUUUUCGAGACCUCUGGCACCGUUCUAAGAUGGGUCCUCUCUUCGUAGGCUAAUGCAUUGGCCCUUUUUGACCCGUUUUGGGGCGAAAACAAAAACUGACUCCCGGGCAUAUUUUUUUCGGCCUUUAUGGGCAGAGAACUUUAAUGCCGCUCAGAAUGAGGCCACCCAGUAGUUAGGUGUGAAUUUUCGAGACCUCUGGCACCGUUCUAAGAUGGGUCCUCUCUUCGUAGGCUAAUGCAUUGGCCCUUUUUGACCCGUUUUGGGGCGAAAACAAAAACUGACUCCCGGGCAUAUUUUUUUCGGCCUUUAUGGGCAGAGAACUUUAAUACCGCUCAGAAAUGAGGCCACCCAGUAGUUAGGUGUGAAUUUUCGAGACCUCUGGCACCGUUCUAAGAUGGGUCCUCUCUUCGUAGGCUAAUGCAUUGGCCCUUUUUGACCCGUUUUGGGGCGAAAACAAAAACUGACUCCCGGGCAUAUUUUUUUCGGCCUUUAUGGGCAGAGAACUUUAAUACCGCUCAGAAUGAGGCCACCCAGUAGUUAGGUGUGAAUUUUCGAGACCUCUCGGCACCGUUCUAAGAUGGGUCCUCUCUUCGUAGGCUAAUGCAUUGGCCCUUUUUGACCCGUUUUGGGGCGAAAACAAAAACUGACUCCCGGGCAUAUUUUUUUCGGCCUUUAUGGGCAGAGAACUUUAAUGCCGCUCAGAAAUGAGGCCACCCAGUAGUUAGGUGUGAAUUUUCGAGACCUCUGGCACCGUUCUAAGAUGGGUCCUCUCUUCGUAGGCUAAUGCAUUGGCCCUUUUUGACCCGUUUUGGGGCGAAAACAAAAACUGACUCCCGGGCAUAUUUUUUUCGGCCUUUAUGGGCAGAGAACUUUAAUACCGCUCAGAAUGAGGCCACCCAGUAGUUAGGUGUGAAUUUUCGAGACCUCUGGCACCGUUCUAAGAUGGGUCCUCUCUUCGUAGGCUAAUGCAUUGGCCCUUUUUGACCCGUUUUGGGGCGAAAACAAAAACUGACUCCCGGGCAUAUUUUUUUCGGCCUUUAUGGGCAGAGAACUUUAAUACCGCUCAGAAUGAGGCCACCCAGUAGUUAGGUGUGAAUUUUCGAGACCUCUUGGCACCGUUCUAAGAUGGGUCCUCUCUUCGUAGGCUAAUGCAUUGGCCCUUUUUGACCCGUUUUGGGGCGAAAACAAAAACUGACUCCCGGGCAUAUUUUUUUCGGCCUUUAUGGGCAGAGAACUUUAAUGCCGCUCAGAAUGAGGCCACCCAGUAGUUAGGUGUGAAUUUUCGAGACCUCUGGCACCGUUCUAAGAUGGGUCCUCUCUUCGUAGGCUAAUGCAUUGGCCCUUUUUGACCCGUUUUGGGGCGAAAACAAAAACUGACUCCCGGGCAUAUUUUUUUCGGCCUUUAUGGGCAGAGAACUUUAAUGCCGCUCAGAAUGAGGCCACCCAGUAGUUAGGUGUGAAUUUUCGAGACCUUUGGCACCGUUCUAAGAUGGGUCCUCUCUUCGUAGGCUAAUGCAUUGGCCCUUUUUGACCCGUUUUGGGGCGAAAACAAAAACUGACUCCCGGGCAUAUUUUUUUCGGCCUUUAUGGGCAGAGAACUUUAAUACCGCUCAGAAUGAGGCCACCCAGUAGUUAGGUGUGAAUUUUCGAGACCUCUGGCACCGUUCUAAGAUGGGUCCUCUCUUCGUAGGCUAAUGCAUUGGCCCUUUUUGACCCGUUUUGGGGCGAAAACAAAAACUGACUCCCGGGCAUAUUUUUUUCGGCCUUUAUGGGCAGAGAACUUUAAUGCCGCUCAGAAUGAGGCCACCCAGUAGUUAGGUGUGAAUUUUCGAGACCUCUGGCACCGUUCUAAGAUGGGUCCUCUCUUCGUAGGCUAAUGCAUUGGCCCUUUUUGACCCGUUUUGGGGCGAAAACAAAAACUGACUCCCGGGCAUAUUUUUUUCGGCCUUUAUGGGCAGAGAACUUUAAUACCGCUCAGAAUGAGGCCACCCAGUAGUUAGGUGUGAAUUUUCGAGACCUCUGGCACCGUUCUAAGAUGGGUCCUCUCUUCGUAGGCUAAUGCAUUGGCCCUUUUUGACCCGUUUUGGGGCGAAAACAAAAACUGACUCCCGGGCAUAUUUUUUUCGGCCUUUAUGGGCAGAGAACUCUUAAUAGCCGCUCAGAAAUGGCCAGGCCACCCAGUAGUUAGGUGUGAAUUUUCGAGACCUCUGGCACCGUUCUAAGAUGGGUCCUCUCUUCGUAGGCUAAUGCAUUGGCCCUUUUUGACCCGUUUUGGGGCGAAAACAAAAACUGACUCCCGGGCAUAUUUUUUUCGGCCUUUAUGGGCAGAGAACUUUAAUGCCGCUCAGAAUGAGGCCACCCAGUAGUUAGGUGUGAAUUUUCGAGACCUCUGGCACCGUUCUAAGAUGGGUCCUCUCUUCGUAGGCUAAUGCAUUGGCCCUUUUUGACCCGUUUUGGGGCGAAAACAAAAACUGACUCCCGGGCAUAUUUUUUUCGGCCUUUAUGGGCAGAGAACUUUAAUGCCGCUCAGAAUGAGGCCACCCAGUAGUUAGGUGUGAAUUUUCGAGACCUUUGGCACCGUUCUAAGAUGGGUCCUCUCUUCGUAGGCUAAUGCAUUGGCCCUUUUUGACCCGUUUUGGGGCGAAAACAAAAACUGACUCCCGGGCAUAUUUUUUUCGGCCUUUAUGGGCAGAGAACUUUAAUGCCGCUCAGAAUGAGGCCACCCAGUAGUUAGGUGUGAAUUUUCGAGACCUCUGGCACCGUUCUAAGAUGGGUCCUCUCUUCGUAGGCUAAUGCAUUGGCCCUUUUUGACCCGUUUUGGGGCGAAAACAAAAACUGACUCCCGGGCAUAUUUUUUUCGGCCUUUAUGGGCAGAGAACUUUAAUACCGCUCAGAAUGAGGCCACCCAGUAGUUAGGUGUGAAUUUUCGAGACCUUUGGCACCGUUCUAAGAUGGGUCCUCUCUUCGUAGGCUAAUGCAUUGGCCCUUUUUGACCCGUUUUGGGGCGAAAACAAAAACUGACUCCCGGGCAUAUUUUUUUCGGCCUUUAUGGGCAGAGAACUUUAAUACCGCUCAGAAUGAGGCCACCCAGUAGUUAGGUGUGAAUUUUCGAGACCUCUGGCACCGUUCUAAGAUGGGUCCUCUCUUCGUAGGCUAAUGCAUUGGCCCUUUUUGACCCGUUUUGGGGCGAAAACAAAAACUGACUCCCGGGCAUAUUUUUUUCGGCCUUUAUGGGCAGAGAACUUUAAUGCCGCUCAGAAUGAGGCCACCCAGUAGUUAGGUGUGAAUUUUCGAGACCUUUGGCCACCGUUCUAAGAUGGGUCCUCUCUUCGUAGGCUAAUGCAUUGGCCCUUUUUGACCCGUUUUGGGGCGAAAACAAAAACUGACUCCCGGGCAUAUUUUUUUCGGCCUUUAUGGGCAGAGAACUUUAAUACCGCUCAGAAUGAGGCCACCCAGUAGUUAGGUGUGAAUUUUCGAGACCUUUGGCACCGUUCUAAGAUGGGUCCUCUCUUCGUAGGCUAAUGCAUUGGCCCUUUUUGACCCGUUUUGGGGCGAAAACAAAAACUGACUCCCGGGCAUAUUUUUUUCGGCCUUUAUGGGCAGAGAACUUUAAUACCGCUCAGAAUGAGGCCACCCAGUAGUUAGGUGUGAAUUUUCGAGACCUUCUGGCACCGUUCUAAGAUGGGUCCUCUCUUCGUAGGCUAAUGCAUUGGCCCUUUUUGACCCGUUUUGGGGCGAAAACAAAAACUGACUCCCGGGCAUAUUUUUUUCGGCCUUUAUGGGCAGAGAACUUUAAUGCCGCUCAGAAUGAGGCCACCCAGUAGUUAGGUGUGAAUUUUCGAGACCUCUGGCACCGUUCUAAGAUGGGUCCUCUCUUCGUAGGCUAAUGCAUUGGCCCUUUUUGACCCGUUUUGGGGCGAAAACAAAAACUGACUCCCGGGCAUAUUUUUUUCGGCCUUUAUGGGCAGAGAACUUUAAUACCGCUCAGAAUGAGGCCACCCAGUAGUUAGGUGUGAAUUUUCGAGACCUUUGGCACCGUUCUAAGAUGGGUCCUCUCUUCGUAGGCUAAUGCAUUGGCCCUUUUUGACCCGUUUUGGGGCGAAAACAAAAACUGACUCCCGGGCAUAUUUUUUUCGGCCUUUAUGGGCAGAGAACUUUAAUGCCGCUCAGAAUGAGGCCACCCAGUAGUUAGGUGUGAAUUUUCGAGACCUUUGGCACCGUUCUAAGAUGGGUCCUCUCUUCGUAGGCUAAUGCAUUGGCCCUUUUUGACCCGUUUUGGGGCGAAAACAAAAACUGACUCCCGGGCAUAUUUUUUUCGGCCUUUAUGGGCAGAGAACUUUAAUACCGCUCAAAAUGAGGCCACCCAGUAGUUAGGUGUGAAUUUUCGAGACCUCUGGCACCGUUCUAAGAUGGGUCCUCUCUUCGUAGGCUAAUGCAUUGGCCCUUUUUGACCCGUUUUGGGGCGAAAACAAAAACUGACUCCCGGGCAUAUUUUUUUCGGCCUUUAUGGGCAGAGAACUUUAAUACCGCUCAAAAUGAGGCCACCCAGUAGUUAGGUGUGAAUUUUCGAGACCUUUGGCACCGUUCUAAGAUGGGUCCUCUCUUCGUAGGCUAAUGCAUUGGCCCUUUUUGACCCGUUUUGGGGCGAAAACAAAAACUGACUCCCGGGCAUAUUUUUUUCGGCCUUUAUGGGCAGAGAACUUUAAUGCCGCUCAGAAUGAGGCCACCCAGUAGUUAGGUGUGAAUUUUCGAGACCUUUGGCACCGUUCUAAGAUGGGUCCUCUCUUCGUAGGCUAAUGCAUUGGCCCUUUUUGACCCGUUUUGGGGCGAAAACAAAAACUGACUCCCGGGCAUAUUUUUUUCGGCCUUUAUGGGCAGAGAACUUUAAUACCGCUCAAAAUGAGGCCACCCAGUAGUUAGGUGUGAAUUUUCGAGACCUUUGGCACCGUUCUAAGAUGGGUCCUCUCUUCGUAGGCUAAUGCAUUGGCCCUUUUUGACCCGUUUUGGGGCGAAAACAAAAACUGACUCCCGGGCAUAUUUUUUUCGGCCUUUAUGGGCAGAGAACUUUAAUACCGCUCAAAAUGAGGCCACCCAGUAGUUAGGUGUGAAUUUUCGAGACCUUUGGCACCGUUCUAAGAUGGGUCCUCUCUUCGUAGGCUAAUGCAUUGGCCCUUUUUGACCCGUUUUGGGGCGAAAACAAAAACUGACUCCCGGGCAUAUUUUUUUCGGCCUUUAUGGGCAGAGAACUUUAAUACCGCUCAAAAUGAGGCCACCCAGUAGUUAGGUGUGAAUUUUCGAGACCUCUGGCACCGUUCUAAGAUGGGUCCUCUCUUCGUAGGCUAAUGCAUUGGCCCUUUUUGACCCGUUUUGGGGCGAAAACAAAAACUGACUCCCGGGCAUAUUUUUUUCGGCCUUUAUGGGCAGAGAACUUUAAUGCCGCUCAAAAUGAGGCCACCCAGUAGUUAGGUGUGAAUUUUCGAGACCUCUGGCACCGUUCUAAGAUGGGUCCUCUCUUCGUAGGCUAAUGCAUUGGCCCUUUUUGACCCGUUUUGGGGCGAAAACAAAAACUGACUCCCGGGCAUAUUUUUUUCGGCCUUUAUGGGCAGAGAACUUUAAUACCGCUCAGAAUGAGGCCACCCAGUAGUUAGGUGUGAAUUUUCGAGACCUUUGGCACCGUUCUAAGAUGGGUCCUCUCUUCGUAGGCUAAUGCAUUGGCCCUUUUUGACCCGUUUUGGGGCGAAAACAAAAACUGACUCCCGGGCAUAUUUUUUUCGGCCUUUAUGGGCAGAGAACUUUAAUACCGCUCAAAAUGAGGCCACCCAGUAGUUAGGUGUGAAUUUUCGAGACCUUUGGCACCGUUCUAAGAUGGGUCCUCUCUUCGUAGGCUAAUGCAUUGGCCCUUUUUGACCCGUUUUGGGGCGAAAACAAAAACUGACUCCCGGGCAUAUUUUUUUCGGCCUUUAUGGGCAGAGAACUUUAAUACCGCUCAAAAUGAGGCCACCCAGUAGUUAGGUGUGAAUUUUCGAGACCUUUGGCACCGUUCUAAGAUGGGUCCUCUCUUCGUAGGCUAAUGCAUUGGCCCUUUUUGACCCGUUUUGGGGCGAAAACAAAAACUGACUCCCGGGCAUAUUUUUUUCGGCCUUUAUGGGCAGAGAACUUUAAUACCGCUCAAAAUGAGGCCACCCAGUAGUUAGGUGUGAAUUUUCGAGACCUUUGGCACCGUUCUAAGAUGGGUCCUCUCUUCGUAGGCUAAUGCAUUGGCCCUUUUUGACCCGUUUUGGGGCGAAAACAAAAACUGACUCCCGGGCAUAUUUUUUUCGGCCUUUAUGGGCAGAGAACUUUAAUACCGCUCAAAAUGAGGCCACCCAGUAGUUAGGUGUGAAUUUUCGAGACCUUUGGCACCGUUCUAAGAUGGGUCCUCUCUUCGUAGGCUAAUGCAUUGGCCCUUUUUGACCCGUUUUGGGGCGAAAACAAAAACUGACUCCCGGGCAUAUUUUUUUCGGCCUUUAUGGGCAGAGAACUUUAAUACCGCUCAAAAUGAGGCCACCCAGUAGUUAGGUGUGAAUUUUCGAGACCUUUGGCACCGUUCUAAGAUGGGUCCUCUCUUCGUAGGCUAAUGCAUUGGCCCUUUUUGACCCGUUUUGGGGCGAAAACAAAAACUGACUCCCGGGCAUAUUUUUUUCGGCCUUUAUGGGCAGAGAACUUUAAUACCGCUCAAAAUGAGGCCACCCAGUAGUUAGGUGUGAAUUUUCGAGACCUUUGGCACCGUUCUAAGAUGGGUCCUCUCUUCGUAGGCUAAUGCAUUGGCCCUUUUUGACCCGUUUUGGGGCGAAAACAAAAACUGACUCCCGGGCAUAUUUUUUUCGGCCUUUAUGGGCAGAGAACUUUAAUACCGCUCAAAAUGAGGCCACCCAGUAGUUAGGUGUGAAUUUUCGAGACCUUUGGCACCGUUCUAAGAUGGGUCCUCUCUUCGUAGGCUAAUGCAUUGGCCCUUUUUGACCCGUUUUGGGGCGAAAACAAAAACUGACUCCCGGGCAUAUUUUUUUCGGCCUUUAUGGGCAGAGAACUUUAAUACCGCUCAAAAUGAGGCCACCCAGUAGUUAGGUGUGAAUUUUCGAGACCUUUGGCACCGUUCUAAGAUGGGUCCUCUCUUCGUAGGCUAAUGCAUUGGCCCUUUUUGACCCGUUUUGGGGCGAAAACAAAAACUGACUCCCGGGCAUAUUUUUUUCGGCCUUUAUGGGCAGAGAACUUUAAUACCGCUCAAAAUGAGGCCACCCAGUAGUUAGGUGUGAAUUUUCGAGACCUUUGGCACCGUUCUAAGAUGGGUCCUCUCUUCGUAGGCUAAUGCAUUGGCCCUUUUUGACCCGUUUUGGGGCGAAAACAAAAACUGACUCCCGGGCAUAUUUUUUUCGGCCUUUAUGGGCAGAGAACUUUAAUACCGCUCAAAAUGAGGCCACCCAGUAGUUAGGUGUGAAUUUUCGAGACCUUUGGCACCGUUCUAAGAUGGGUCCUCUCUUCGUAGGCUAAUGCAUUGGCCCUUUUUGACCCGUUUUGGGGCGAAAACAAAAACUGACUCCCGGGCAUAUUUUUUUCGGCCUUUAUGGGCAGAGAACUUUAAUACCGCUCAAAAUGAGGCCACCCAGUAGUUAGGUGUGAAUUUUCGAGACCUUUGGCACCGUUCUAAGAUGGGUCCUCUCUUCGUAGGCUAAUGCAUUGGCCCUUUUUGACCCGUUUUGGGGCGAAAACAAAAACUGACUCCCGGGCAUAUUUUUUUCGGCCUUUAUGGGCAGAGAACUUUAAUACCGCUCAAAAUGAGGCCACCCAGUAGUUAGGUGUGAAUUUUCGAGACCUUUGGCACCGUUCUAAGAUGGGUCCUCUCUUCGUAGGCUAAUGCAUUGGCCCUUUUUGACCCGUUUUGGGGCGAAAACAAAAACUGACUCCCGGGCAUAUUUUUUUCGGCCUUUAUGGGCAGAGAACUUUAAUACCGCUCAAAAUGAGGCCACCCAGUAGUUAGGUGUGAAUUUUCGAGACCUUUGGCACCGUUCUAAGAUGGGUCCUCUCUUCGUAGGCUAAUGCAUUGGCCCUUUUUGACCCGUUUUGGGGCGAAAACAAAAACUGACUCCCGGGCAUAUUUUUUUCGGCCUUUAUGGGCAGAGAACUUUAAUACCGCUCAAAAUGAGGCCACCCAGUAGUUAGGUGUGAAUUUUCGAGACCUUUGGCACCGUUCUAAGAUGGGUCCUCUCUUCGUAGGCUAAUGCAUUGGCCCUUUUUGACCCGUUUUGGGGCGAAAACAAAAACUGACUCCCGGGCAUAUUUUUUUCGGCCUUUAUGGGCAGAGAACUUUAAUACCGCUCAAAAUGAGGCCACCCAGUAGUUAGGUGUGAAUUUUCGAGACCUUUGGCACCGUUCUAAGAUGGGUCCUCUCUUCGUAGGCUAAUGCAUUGGCCCUUUUUGACCCGUUUUGGGGCGAAAACAAAAACUGACUCCCGGGCAUAUUUUUUUCGGCCUUUAUGGGCAGAGAACUUUAAUACCGCUCAAAAUGAGGCCACCCAGUAGUUAGGUGUGAAUUUUCGAGACCUUUGGCACCGUUCUAAGAUGGGUCCUCUCUUCGUAGGCUAAUGCAUUGGCCCUUUUUGACCCGUUUUGGGGCGAAAACAAAAACUGACUCCCGGGCAUAUUUUUUUCGGCCUUUAUGGGCAGAGAACUUUAAUACCGCUCAAAAUGAGGCCACCCAGUAGUUAGGUGUGAAUUUUCGAGACCUUUGGCACCGUUCUAAGAUGGGUCCUCUCUUCGUAGGCUAAUGCAUUGGCCCUUUUUGACCCGUUUUGGGGCGAAAACAAAAACUGACUCCCGGGCAUAUUUUUUUCGGCCUUUAUGGGCAGAGAACUUUAAUACCGCUCAAAAUGAGGCCACCCAGUAGUUAGGUGUGAAUUUUCGAGACCUUUGGCACCGUUCUAAGAUGGGUCCUCUCUUCGUAGGCUAAUGCAUUGGCCCUUUUUGACCCGUUUUGGGGCGAAAACAAAAACUGACUCCCGGGCAUAUUUUUUUCGGCCUUUAUGGGCAGAGAACUUUAAUACCGCUCAAAAUGAGGCCACCCAGUAGUUAGGUGUGAAUUUUCGAGACCUUUGGCACCGUUCUAAGAUGGGUCCUCUCUUCGUAGGCUAAUGCAUUGGCCCUUUUUGACCCGUUUUGGGGCGAAAACAAAAACUGACUCCCGGGCAUAUUUUUUUCGGCCUUUAUGGGCAGAGAACUUUAAUACCGCUCAAAAUGAGGCCACCCAGUAGUUAGGUGUGAAUUUUCGAGACCUUUGGCACCGUUCUAAGAUGGGUCCUCUCUUCGUAGGCUAAUGCAUUGGCCCUUUUUGACCCGUUUUGGGGCGAAAACAAAAACUGACUCCCGGGCAUAUUUUUUUCGGCCUUUAUGGGCAGAGAACUUUAAUACCGCUCAAAAUGAGGCCACCCAGUAGUUAGGUGUGAAUUUUCGAGACCUUUGGCACCGUUCUAAGAUGGGUCCUCUCUUCGUAGGCUAAUGCAUUGGCCCUUUUUGACCCGUUUUGGGGCGAAAACAAAAACUGACUCCCGGGCAUAUUUUUUUCGGCCUUUAUGGGCAGAGAACUUUAAUACCGCUCAAAAUGAGGCCACCCAGUAGUUAGGUGUGAAUUUUCGAGACCUUUGGCACCGUUCUAAGAUGGGUCCUCUCUUCGUAGGCUAAUGCAUUGGCCCUUUUUGACCCGUUUUGGGGCGAAAACAAAAACUGACUCCCGGGCAUAUUUUUUUCGGCCUUUAUGGGCAGAGAACUUUAAUACCGCUCAAAAUGAGGCCACCCAGUAGUUAGGUGUGAAUUUUCGAGACCUUUGGCACCGUUCUAAGAUGGGUCCUCUCUUCGUAGGCUAAUGCAUUGGCCCUUUUUGACCCGUUUUGGGGCGAAAACAAAAACUGACUCCCGGGCAUAUUUUUUUCGGCCUUUAUGGGCAGAGAACUUUAAUACCGCUCAAAAUGAGGCCACCCAGUAGUUAGGUGUGAAUUUUCGAGACCUUUGGCACCGUUCUAAGAUGGGUCCUCUCUUCGUAGGCUAAUGCAUUGGCCCUUUUUGACCCGUUUUGGGGCGAAAACAAAAACUGACUCCCGGGCAUAUUUUUUUCGGCCUUUAUGGGCAGAGAACUUUAAUACCGCUCAAAAUGAGGCCACCCAGUAGUUAGGUGUGAAUUUUCGAGACCUUUGGCACCGUUCUAAGAUGGGUCCUCUCUUCGUAGGCUAAUGCAUUGGCCCUUUUUGACCCGUUUUGGGGCGAAAACAAAAACUGACUCCCGGGCAUAUUUUUUUCGGCCUUUAUGGGCAGAGAACUUUAAUACCGCUCAAAAUGAGGCCACCCAGUAGUUAGGUGUGAAUUUUCGAGACCUUUGGCACCGUUCUAAGAUGGGUCCUCUCUUCGUAGGCUAAUGCAUUGGCCCUUUUUGACCCGUUUUGGGGCGAAAACAAAAACUGACUCCCGGGCAUAUUUUUUUCGGCCUUUAUGGGCAGAGAACUUUAAUACCGCUCAAAAUGAGGCCACCCAGUAGUUAGGUGUGAAUUUUCGAGACCUUUGGCACCGUUCUAAGAUGGGUCCUCUCUUCGUAGGCUAAUGCAUUGGCCCUUUUUGACCCGUUUUGGGGCGAAAACAAAAACUGACUCCCGGGCAUAUUUUUUUCGGCCUUUAUGGGCAGAGAACUUUAAUACCGCUCAAAAUGAGGCCACCCAGUAGUUAGGUGUGAAUUUUCGAGACCUUUGGCACCGUUCUAAGAUGGGUCCUCUCUUCGUAGGCUAAUGCAUUGGCCCUUUUUGACCCGUUUUGGGGCGAAAACAAAAACUGACUCCCGGGCAUAUUUUUUUCGGCCUUUAUGGGCAGAGAACUUUAAUACCGCUCAAAAUGAGGCCACCCAGUAGUUAGGUGUGAAUUUUCGAGACCUUUGGCACCGUUCUAAGAUGGGUCCUCUCUUCGUAGGCUAAUGCAUUGGCCCUUUUUGACCCGUUUUGGGGCGAAAACAAAAACUGACUCCCGGGCAUAUUUUUUUCGGCCUUUAUGGGCAGAGAACUUUAAUACCGCUCAAAAUGAGGCCACCCAGUAGUUAGGUGUGAAUUUUCGAGACCUUUGGCACCGUUCUAAGAUGGGUCCUCUCUUCGUAGGCUAAUGCAUUGGCCCUUUUUGACCCGUUUUGGGGCGAAAACAAAAACUGACUCCCGGGCAUAUUUUUUUCGGCCUUUAUGGGCAGAGAACUUUAAUACCGCUCAAAAUGAGGCCACCCAGUAGUUAGGUGUGAAUUUUCGAGACCUUUGGCACCGUUCUAAGAUGGGUCCUCUCUUCGUAGGCUAAUGCAUUGGCCCUUUUUGACCCGUUUUGGGGCGAAAACAAAAACUGACUCCCGGGCAUAUUUUUUUCGGCCUUUAUGGGCAGAGAACUUUAAUACCGCUCAAAAUGAGGCCACCCAGUAGUUAGGUGUGAAUUUUCGAGACCUUUGGCACCGUUCUAAGAUGGGUCCUCUCUUCGUAGGCUAAUGCAUUGGCCCUUUUUGACCCGUUUUGGGGCGAAAACAAAAACUGACUCCCGGGCAUAUUUUUUUCGGCCUUUAUGGGCAGAGAACUUUAAUACCGCUCAAAAUGAGGCCACCCAGUAGUUAGGUGUGAAUUUUCGAGACCUUUGGCACCGUUCUAAGAUGGGUCCUCUCUUCGUAGGCUAAUGCAUUGGCCCUUUUUGACCCGUUUUGGGGCGAAAACAAAAACUGACUCCCGGGCAUAUUUUUUUCGGCCUUUAUGGGCAGAGAACUUUAAUACCGCUCAAAAUGAGGCCACCCAGUAGUUAGGUGUGAAUUUUCGAGACCUCUUGGCACCGUUCUAAGAUGGGUCCUCUCUUCGUAGGCUAAUGCAUUGGCCCUUUUUGACCCGUUUUGGGGCGAAAACAAAAACUGACUCCCGGGCAUAUUUUUUUCGGCCUUUAUGGGCAGAGAACUUUAAUACCGCUCAAAAUGAGGCCACCCAGUAGUUAGGUGUGAAUUUUCGAGACCUCUGGCACCGUUCUAAGAUGGGUCCUCUCUUCGUAGGCUAAUGCAUUGGCCCUUUUUGACCCGUUUUGGGGCGAAAACAAAAACUGACUCCCGGGCAUAUUUUUUUCGGCCUUUAUGGGCAGAGAACUUUAAUGCCGCUCAAAAUGAGGCCACCCAGUAGUUAGGUGUGAAUUUUCGAGACCUCUGGCACCGUUCUAAGAUGGGUCCUCUCUUCGUAGGCUAAUGCAUUGGCCCUUUUUGACCCGUUUUGGGGCGAAAACAAAAACUGACUCCCGGGCAUAUUUUUUUCGGCCUUUAUGGGCAGAGAACUUUAAUACCGCUCAGAAUGAGGCCACCCAGUAGUUAGGUGUGAAUUUUCGAGACCUUCUGGCACCGUUCUAAGAUGGGUCCUCUCUUCGUAGGCUAAUGCAUUGGCCCUUUUUGACCCGUUUUGGGGCGAAAACAAAAACUGACUCCCGGGCAUAUUUUUUUCGGCCUUUAUGGGCAGAGAACUUUAAUACCGCUCAGAAUGAGGCCACCCAGUAGUUAGGUGUGAAUUUUCGAGACCUCUGGCACCGUUCUAAGAUGGGUCCUCUCUUCGUAGGCUAAUGCAUUGGCCCUUUUUGACCCGUUUUGGGGCGAAAACAAAAACUGACUCCCGGGCAUAUUUUUUUCGGCCUUUAUGGGCAGAGAACUUUAAUACCGCUCAGAAUGAGGCCACCCAGUAGUUAGGUGUGAAUUUUCGAGACCUUUGGCACCGUUCUAAGAUGGGUCCUCUCUUCGUAGGCUAAUGCAUUGGCCCUUUUUGACCCGUUUUGGGGCGAAAACAAAAACUGACUCCCGGGCAUAUUUUUUUCGGCCUUUAUGGGCAGAGAACUUUAAUGCCGCUCAGAAUGAGGCCACCCAGUAGUUAGGUGUGAAUUUUCGAGACCUUUGGCACCGUUCUAAGAUGGGUCCUCUCUUCGUAGGCUAAUGCAUUGGCCCUUUUUGACCCGUUUUGGGGCGAAAACAAAAACUGACUCCCGGGCAUAUUUUUUUCGGCCUUUAUGGGCAGAGAACUUUAAUGCCGCUCAGAAUGAGGCCACCCAGUAGUUAGGUGUGAAUUUUCGAGACCUCUGGCACCGUUCUAAGAUGGGUCCUCUCUUCGUAGGCUAAUGCAUUGGCCCUUUUUGACCCGUUUUGGGGCGAAAACAAAAACUGACUCCCGGGCAUAUUUUUUUCGGCCUUUAUGGGCAGAGAACUUUAAUACCGCUCAAAAUGAGGCCACCCAGUAGUUAGGUGUGAAUUUUCGAGACCUUUGGCACCGUUCUAAGAUGGGUCCUCUCUUCGUAGGCUAAUGCAUUGGCCCUUUUUGACCCGUUUUGGGGCGAAAACAAAAACUGACUCCCGGGCAUAUUUUUUUCGGCCUUUAUGGGCAGAGAACUUUAAUACCGCUCAAAAUGAGGCCACCCAGUAGUUAGGUGUGAAUUUUCGAGACCUCUGGCACCGUUCUAAGAUGGGUCCUCUCUUCGUAGGCUAAUGCAUUGGCCCUUUUUGACCCGUUUUGGGGCGAAAACAAAAACUGACUCCCGGGCAUAUUUUUUUCGGCCUUUAUGGGCAGAGAACUUUAAUACCGCUCAAAAUGAGGCCACCCAGUAGUUAGGUGUGAAUUUUCGAGACCUUUGGCACCGUUCUAAGAUGGGUCCUCUCUUCGUAGGCUAAUGCAUUGGCCCUUUUUGACCCGUUUUGGGGCGAAAACAAAAACUGACUCCCGGGCAUAUUUUUUUCGGCCUUUAUGGGCAGAGAACUUUAAUACCGCUCAGAAUGAGGCCACCCAGUAGUUAGGUGUGAAUUUUCGAGACCUUUGGCACCGUUCUAAGAUGGGUCCUCUCUUCGUAGGCUAAUGCAUUGGCCCUUUUUGACCCGUUUUGGGGCGAAAACAAAAACUGACUCCCGGGCAUAUUUUUUUCGGCCUUUAUGGGCAGAGAACUUUAAUACGCCGCUCAGAAUGAGGCCACCCAGUAGUUAGGUGUGAAUUUUCGAGACCUUUGGCACCGUUCUAAGAUGGGUCCUCUCUUCGUAGGCUAAUGCAUUGGCCCUUUUUGACCCGUUUUGGGGCGAAAACAAAAACUGACUCCCGGGCAUAUUUUUUUCGGCCUUUAUGGGCAGAGAACUUUAAUACCGCUCAGAAUGAGGCCACCCAGUAGUUAGGUGUGAAUUUUCGAGACCUUUGGCACCGUUCUAAGAUGGGUCCUCUCUUCGUAGGCUAAUGCAUUGGCCCUUUUUGACCCGUUUUGGGGCGAAAACAAAAACUGACUCCCGGGCAUAUUUUUUUCGGCCUUUAUGGGCAGAGAACUUUAAUACCGCUCAGAAUGAGGCCACCCAGUAGUUAGGUGUGAAUUUUCGAGACCUUUGGCACCGUUCUAAGAUGGGUCCUCUCUUCGUAGGCUAAUGCAUUGGCCCUUUUUGACCCGUUUUGGGGCGAAAACAAAAACUGACUCCCGGGCAUAUUUUUUUCGGCCUUUAUGGGCAGAGAACUUUAAUACCGCUCAAAAUGAGGCCACCCAGUAGUUAGGUGUGAAUUUUCGAGACCUUCUGGCACCGUUCUAAGAUGGGUCCUCUCUUCGUAGGCUAAUGCAUUGGCCCUUUUUGACCCGUUUUGGGGCGAAAACAAAAACUGACUCCCGGGCAUAUUUUUUUCGGCCUUUAUGGGCAGAGAACUUUAAUACCGCUCAAAAUGAGGCCACCCAGUAGUUAGGUGUGAAUUUUCGAGACCUCUGGCACCGUUCUAAGAUGGGUCCUCUCUUCGUAGGCUAAUGCAUUGGCCCUUUUUGACCCGUUUUGGGGCGAAAACAAAAACUGACUCCCGGGCAUAUUUUUUUCGGCCUUUAUGGGCAGAGAACUUUAAUACCCGCUCAGAAUGAGGCCACCCAGUAGUUAGGUGUGAAUUUUCGAGACCUUCUGGCACCGUUCUAAGAUGGGUCCUCUCUUCGUAGGCUAAUGCAUUGGCCCUUUUUGACCCGUUUUGGGGCGAAAACAAAAACUGACUCCCGGGCAUAUUUUUUUCGGCCUUUAUGGGCAGAGAACUUUAAUACCGCUCAAAAUGAGGCCACCCAGUAGUUAGGUGUGAAUUUUCGAGACCUCUGGCACCGUUCUAAGAUGGGUCCUCUCUUCGUAGGCUAAUGCAUUGGCCCUUUUUGACCCGUUUUGGGGCGAAAACAAAAACUGACUCCCGGGCAUAUUUUUUUCGGCCUUUAUGGGCAGAGAACUUUAAUACCGCUCAAAAUGAGGCCACCCAGUAGUUAGGUGUGAAUUUUCGAGACCUUUGGCACCGUUCUAAGAUGGGUCCUCUCUUCGUAGGCUAAUGCAUUGGCCCUUUUUGACCCGUUUUGGGGCGAAAACAAAAACUGACUCCCGGGCAUAUUUUUUUCGGCCUUUAUGGGCAGAGAACUUUAAUGCCGCUCAGAAUGAGGCCACCCAGUAGUUAGGUGUGAAUUUUCGAGACCUUUGGCACCGUUCUAAGAUGGGUCCUCUCUUCGUAGGCUAAUGCAUUGGCCCUUUUUGACCCGUUUUGGGGCGAAAACAAAAACUGACUCCCGGGCAUAUUUUUUUCGGCCUUUAUGGGCAGAGAACUUUAAUGCCGCUCAAAAUGAGGCCACCCAGUAGUUAGGUGUGAAUUUUCGAGACCUUUGGCACCGUUCUAAGAUGGGUCCUCUCUUCGUAGGCUAAUGCAUUGGCCCUUUUUGACCCGUUUUGGGGCGAAAACAAAAACUGACUCCCGGGCAUAUUUUUUUCGGCCUUUAUGGGCAGAGAACUUUAAUACCGCUCAAAAUGAGGCCACCCAGUAGUUAGGUGUGAAUUUUCGAGACCUUUGGCACCGUUCUAAGAUGGGUCCUCUCUUCGUAGGCUAAUGCAUUGGCCCUUUUUGACCCGUUUUGGGGCGAAAACAAAAACUGACUCCCGGGCAUAUUUUUUUCGGCCUUUAUGGGCAGAGAACUUUAAUGCCGCUCAAAAUGAGGCCACCCAGUAGUUAGGUGUGAAUUUUCGAGACCUUUGGCACCGUUCUAAGAUGGGUCCUCUCUUCGUAGGCUAAUGCAUUGGCCCUUUUUGACCCGUUUUGGGGCGAAAACAAAAACUGACUCCCGGGCAUAUUUUUUUCGGCCUUUAUGGGCAGAGAACUUUAAUACCCGCUCAGAAUGAGGCCACCCAGUAGUUAGGUGUGAAUUUUCGAGACCUUUGGCACCGUUCUAAGAUGGGUCCUCUCUUCGUAGGCUAAUGCAUUGGCCCUUUUUGACCCGUUUUGGGGCGAAAACAAAAACUGACUCCCGGGCAUAUUUUUUUCGGCCUUUAUGGGCAGAGAACUUUAAUACCGCUCAGAAAUGAGGCCACCCAGUAGUUAGGUGUGAAUUUUCGAGACCUUUGGCACCGUUCUAAGAUGGGUCCUCUCUUCGUAGGCUAAUGCAUUGGCCCUUUUUGACCCGUUUUGGGGCGAAAACAAAAACUGACUCCCGGGCAUAUUUUUUUCGGCCUUUAUGGGCAGAGAACUUUAAUACCGCUCAGAAAUGAGGCCACCCAGUAGUUAGGUGGGAAUUUUCGAGACCUUUGGCACCGUUCUAAGAUGGGUCCUCUCUUCGUAGGCUAAUGCAUUGGCCCUUUUUGACCCGUUUUGGGGCGAAAACAAAAACUGACUCCCGGGCAUAUUUUUUUCGGCCUUUAUGGGCAGAGAACUUUAACACCGCUCAAAAUGAGGCCACCCAGUAGUUAGGUGUGAAUUUUCGAGACCUUUGGCACCGUUCUAAGAUGGGUCCUCUCUUCGUAGGCUAAUGCAUUGGCCCUUUUUGACCCGUUUUGGGGCGAAAACAAAAACUGACUCCCGGGCAUAUUUUUUUCGGCCUUUAUGGGCAGAGAACUUUAAUACCGCUCAAAAUGAGGCCACCCAGUAGUUAGGUGUGAAUUUUCGAGACCUUUGGCACCGUUCUAAGAUGGGUCCUCUCUUCGUAGGCUAAUGCAUUGGCCCUUUUUGACCCGUUUUGGGGCGAAAACAAAAACUGACUCCCGGGCAUAUUUUUUUCGGCCUUUAUGGGCAGAGAACUUUAACACCGCUCAAAAUGAGGCCACCCAGUAGUUAGGUGGGAAUUUUCGAGACCUUUGGCACCGUUCUAAGAUGGGUCCUCUCUUCGUAGGCUAAUGCAUUGGCCCUUUUUGACCCGUUUUGGGGCGAAAACAAAAACUGACUCCCGGGCAUAUUUUUUUUCGGCCUUUAUGGGCAGAGAACUUUAACACCGCUCAAAAUGAGGCCACCCAGUAGUUAGGUGGGAAUUUUCGAGACCUUUGGCACCGUUCUAAGAUGGGUCCUCUCUUCGUAGGCUAAUGCAUUGGCCCUUUUUGACCCGUUUUGGGGCGAAAACAAAAACUGACUCCCGGGCAUAUUUUUC